AGAAUGCAACGUCAUGAACACACGGCGGCUGAACGCAGUGACACCGCUCCACAGAUUUUUCAGCUUCCAGAUGACUGUGGUUGAAUUUUUCUUUUUUUCCUAUAGAAGUGCUGAGGGAACCUUGAAUCGCUGUGAAAGGAGGCAACACUACAAUCUUAGAGUUAUCUUCAUACCCCCAACCAAUGAAUGAAUGGUUGCUCUAUAUCCAAACCCUGUCCGUACCUGAGCAGCAAUGGCUCGUGCCGUCUUGCUGUUGUCUCCGGUCAUCAGCACAACUUCCAGACCCAUGUUGGUCAGAGUGCGUACUGCCAGCUCAGCCUCUGGUUUCACUGUGUCCGCUAUGGCUAUCAUCGCACACAGCAGAUCUACGCACAAAUGAAAAUAAGACUACCAGGGUCUCUGUGUUGCUGACCUGACAUCGGAUGCCACAGCCGGGCACUGCCUGAAAGUCUGUGCAUGUGCCCAGAGCCUCUGUGCCAAGCUCCUGCACACAGAUAGUAAUGGAUGUCAACGGAGAUAAAAUGGUGGACUGGUGAUCUGAGACAAGGAUUUGUUGGAGGCCAUGUGGGGGUUAAAUGUGAGGUAGACCAACCUGUUUGCAAUAUUUGGUGACAGCUGCUCCCAGAGGGUGUUCACUGUUGUUUUCAGCUGUACCCACGAUGGCCAGCAGUCGUGAACGAGGCAUCUUGUUCCCUUCCACAACGAUCUUGACUUGGAUAACCUUCGGGGCACCAUAUGUGAUGGUUCCAGUCUUAUCAAACACCACCGACUGGACCUGGUCAUAAAACGAGAUACGAUAAGAAUAAAAAAAGAAAUACCAUCAGGCUGAA